rnacentral:rRNA from 1 species
UAAGAAUCUUCCGCAAUGGGCGAAAGCCUGACGGAGCGACGCCGCGUGGACGAUGAAGGCCGAAAGGUUGUAAAGUCCUUUUCUCUGUGAAGAAUAAGUGGGGGAGGAAAUGCCCUUAUGAUGACGUUAGCAGAGGAAUAAGCCCCGGCUAAUUACGUGCCAGCAGCCGCGGUAAUACGUAAGGGGCAAGCGUUGUUCGGAAUUAUUGGGUGUAAAGGGCGCGUAGGCGGUUUCACAAGUCCGGUGUAUAAGGCUACAGCUUAACUGUGGUUCUGCGCUGGAAACUGUGAGACUUGAGUUUAGGAGGGGGAGCUGGAAUUCCAGGUGUAGGGGUGAAAUCUGUAGAUAUCUGGAAGAACACCGGUGGCGAAGGCGAGCUCCUGGCCAUAGACUGACGCUGAGGCGCGAAAGCGUGGGGAGCAAAC